rnacentral:rRNA from 2 species
CUUUAACAGAACCCUUCGGGGCGAAGAUAAAGUGGAUUAGCGGCGGACGGGUGAGUAACACGUGAGUAACCUGCCUUAGACAUUGGGAUAGCCUCGGGAAACCGGGAUUAAUACCAAAUAAAAUCAUAAUGACACAUGUCAUAACGAUCAAAACUCCGGUGGUCUAAGAUGGACUCGCGUCCCAUUAGCUAGUUGGUAGAGUAAAAGCCUACCAAGGCGACGAUGGGUAGCCGGCCUGAGAGGGUGAACGGCCACAUUGGAACUGAGAAACGGUCCAAACUCCUACGGGAGGCAGCAGUGGGGAAUAUUGCACAAUGGAGGGAACUCUGAUGCAGCGACGCCGCGUGAACGAAGAAGGCUUUCGAGUCGUAAAGUUCUUUUAUAUGGGAAGAUAAUGACGGUACCAUAAGAAAAAGCCCCGGCUAACUACGUGCCAGCAGCCGCGGUAAUACGUAGGGGGCUAGCGUUGUCCGGAAUCACUGGGCGUAAAGGGUUCGCAGGCGGAAAUGCAGGUCAGAUGUAAAAGGCAGUAGCUUAACUACUGUAAGCAUUUGAAACUGCAUAUCUUGAGAAGAGUAGAGGUAAGUGGAAUUUUUAGUGUAGCGGUGAAAUGCGUAGAUAUUAAAAAGAAUACCGGUGGCGAAGGCGACUUACUGGGCUCAUUCUGACGCUGAGGAACGAAAGCGUGGGUAGCAAACAGG